AACAUUAAUGUUCUUUGGAUAUUUAAUAUUAGUACUGUAUGUGAAUAGGGAUGUUAAAUACUAGAACAAAAUAAGAAAUCGAUGAGGAACACGCGCGAGUGAGGGGAAGAUGAGAGGGAGAGAAGAGGCGGUGGGCUCAAAAUGGGUAUGGAAUCAGGAGGGGGCAGAGAUACGGUGUCGUAUCGAUAGGUUACAGACAGCCUAUAAAGAACCCUAAACACUGCAUGGAUUGGAGUUGUCUGUGAAUCCAACAUGCAUUCCCGUCCCAUGCCUCCUUUCAUUUAUUGUUAUAUUUUCCCGAUGUCUUUUAGUUCAUAAUAAUAUCAAAUGUUAAUUAAUUUUUCAUUAAUUUCAUCUG
rnacentral:lncRNA from 1 species